GAAUAUAAAACUAGUAUGGCGACACAAAUUAUAUAUACACUAUUUUAUCACCAUAUAGCCAUAUAGGUUAAAGCAUGCAUACAAAAAUAGUAUAAAGUAGUAUUAAAGGAGUCAGAUGCAUAUGAAAUCUCUGGCAAUUCAGAGAUGCCCAUGGUAAGAAACUACGAGAAAACCCCAGCUGUUAGUUUUGCAUGUGAAGUAUUAAUUAUUUAGUUAAUUCAGAUUUUUUUUCUCUGAUUACUAAAUCACGUUUCACGAGAAAACUAACUACCCAAAAUAAAUGAAAUUAACAUCUUUUUUAAAUGCCGUUAUUUAUUUGAACUAGUUUUUUUUUUUUUUUGUGCGCACAAAGUUUUCAUUGAUAAAUUUUAACGGUUACAAGAGCAAAAGCAACAUCGUACAAACCACGACACGCAAAUUCAAAAGCUAAAUCCCAGACAUAUAGUUCAAUAGGAUACAAGGAUAGAGACACAAACUUAUACAAGUUUGAUAAAAUGUUAUAUAAGAAAUCGAAGCUGCCACAAACGAUCCAAUCUAUAAAAGACUCAAACCGCACUUCAAAAUCCACAAAUAACACAUGAUUAGUCACAAUAGCAUGUGACGUCGCAACACUUGCCAAGACCUCGACUCUCAUCAGGAUGAGCAUUGUUGCAUCUACCGGCCCCAAACGAGCCUUCACACAAGAUAGCAAACGGUUUGGAAAUUCAUAAAUUUUCCCGGUUUUGAAUAUCGGGAGAGUGUCACCUCUUACAAAGAGGGAUUUUGGUGAAAUAAAUCUCUCCUUUGAAAAGGAGGAAAUGGAAAACGAUCUCUCUCGGCCCUGACAAGAGGAGGUUUGUGUAAACUUAACCAUAGAGAUUAAGGUUACUGGGCUGGUUAAAACAAGCUUGUUUCUUUCUUGACUAGGAUCCAUUGGAGAGUUGAAGCUUGUGAUUGAAAUAGCAAUCGAUGUUUGAUUACUAAGAUAUUUGACCUUCUGGCUGUAAGUUGAUUUCAAAACGAAACACAUAGAUAUUUGAACUAGUUUUUUUUUUUUUUUUCCGUCAAAGUUUUUUGAUAUUAUAUAACUGGGCCAAGCCCAGACAAGAGCCGAAGCCCGAAUACAUAAAGACUGACUAGAAGCCCAAAAAAACAACAACGGGCUCGAAAAAAUCUAAACGGGCCUUCAGCCCAAUCUCAACAUCACUCGCCCCACAUGGAAAGCGCGUCAAGGAGGCUGGCUCGACACGUGGGGAGAUCUGCUCCCUUAGCGCUUAACGCGUCGUCACCGUCUCGACUUAACCGCCUCCAUCUUGACGCCACCGGAACAAACACCGACAAAGAACCUCGUUCGUCGGAGCUCAAGACCCGACAAGCCUCCAACGAACGCAAACCAUUCUUUUCCGCACUGUCAUCACACCGGAGAGAUCCAUCGAAACUCGAGAUCUCCUCCAACUUUAGAGCGCUUCAAACCCUAAACACGCGGAUCAUGACCCAUCUCUUUUCUUUUCUUGACCACCGUCACCUCGCCGGAGGGCAUCAUCUUCCACAGAGAUCUCAUCCGCCGUGACCCAAACCCACCAUGACGACAACCACACCAACCAUGAACCAAAACUAACCUCGUAAACCUUUUUCCCAAAGAACAUCGGGAUCCCAAAUGGAAGCGCGGAUCUUUGGUAGCCUCCGCUCUCCAUAGCUGAAAGCCGGCGAAGACGAAUCUGAAGAAGACUCUCUUCCCGGAAGCUCGAACCGGCGGCGGUGGAUCUGCAGAAGCCUCCACCUCCCGGAAAAUACCACCACUGUACAUGCGGCCACUUUCUCCACCGUGGACCUCCCGACGAGCGCGUCGUAACUCCAUAACCAAACCACCGUAAGGGAUGAGGGCAGUGACAGAGGUCGGACAAGGCGCUUGUUGACAGGACGGCGAAGAAAAAACGGAGGGGAACCACUACGACGAACAAGAAAAGACUCCGGCGCCGGCACGGACGCUCACGCGCCGGCCGAGCACCGGACUCCAAAGUAGAUCUCGCUUCUCUCUCUUCACUUAGAUAUUUGAACUAGUUUAUUCAAUCAAAAAUAAAUCUACAAACUAAAUUUUGUGAAAAUGUGAAACUAAAGAUAGAAUAAAUGUAGUUUUUUUGAGAAAUGAAUAAAUGUAGUUUUUACAUAAAAAUAAAUAAUACUAUCAUCAUUCUGUUAAAUUAGAUAUAUCACCAACUUUAUUAAAAUAUUUUGAAAAGGAAGUCGUAAUCAUAUUUAACACAUUCGAAUUUCUUGAACAAGUCUAAUUUGGGCUUCGUCUCACUAGAAUAUGAACAUGGUUAACAAAACAAUUCAACAGAAGAUUAUAUCAUUAGGCAAAAACAAGAGAGGUUGUCUGCAACUUUAACUAUUUCAAUUUACUAGUUAUGAUCAUAACUGACAAAAAAUAUUAUAAACUGAUUAAUAAUUACAUUAAUAAAAGGAAAAAAGAGAAAAAACUAAUCACUUUGUCAGACUAAGUACACAAGAUCCACACAUAGCUUAAUUGUAACAGUUCCAAUGGAAUCUUUUUUUCUCUCUCUGUUUACCACUAGACUCUAGAGAGAGAGAGAUAAACGCCACAUUCAUCGUCAACAUCAUCACAGUACACAUCAUUAAUGAACAUGAAGAAGAUUCAAAGAAAGACCAAACUAAUCGUCACAAGAAGAAUCUAAUUCAAUAAUUUAUAUUGAAAACUUAUUCACACUGAUUAAAACUGAUCUUGAGCGCACACUCCUCUUUCAAG
rnacentral:lncRNA from 1 species